rnacentral:rRNA from 1 species
UGGGGAAUAUUGCACAAUGGGGGAAACCCUGAUGCAGCGACGCCGCGUGAACGAAGAAGGUAUUCGUAUCGUAAAGUUCUGUCCUAUGGGAAGAUAAUGACAGUACCAUAGAGGAAAGCUCCGGCUAAAUACGUGCCAGCAGCCGCGGUAAUACGUAUGGAGCGAGCGUUGUCCGGAAUUAUUGGGCGUAAAGGGUACGCAGGCGGUUUAAUAAGUCGAAUGUUAAAGAUCGGGGCUCAACCCCGUAAAGCAUUGGAAACUGAUAAACUUGAGUAGUGGAGAGGAAAGUGGAAUUCCUAGUGUAGUGGUGAAAUACGUAGAUAUUAGGAGGAAUACCAGUAGCGAAGGCGACUUUCUGGACACAAACUGACGCUGAGGUACGAAAGCGUGGGGAGCAAACAGG